UCCGUGGGGUGCAAGCGUUGUUCGGAAUUACUGGGCGUAAAGCGUGUGUAGGCGGCCCGUUAAGUCUGAUGUGAAAUCCCUGGGCUUAACCCAGGAACUGCAUCGGAAACUAACAGGUUGGAGUCCGGGAGAGGGUAGUGGAAUUCCUGGUGUAGAGGUGAAAUUCGUAGAUAUCAGGAGGAACACCGGUGGCGAAGGCGGCUACCUGGACCGGUACUGACGCUGAGACACGAAAGCGUGGGGAGCAAACAGG
rnacentral:rRNA from 1 species